UACAGAGGUGCCGAGCGUUAGGCGGAAUCACUGGGCUUAAAGCGCGCGUAGGCGGGUCGUUAAGCGUCCGCGUGAAAUCCCGCGGCUCACCCGCGGAACGGCCGGGCGGACUGGCGACCUCGAGGCACUCAGGGGCGAGCGGAACGAGCGGUGGAGCGGUGAAAUGCGUAGAUAUCGCUCGGAACGCCGACGGUGAAAACAGCUCGCUGGGGGUGUCCUGACGCUGAGGCGCGAAAGCCAGGGGAGCGAACGGG
rnacentral:rRNA from 1 species